UACGAAGGUGGCAAGCGUUGUUCGGAAUUAUUGGGCGUAAAGAGCUCGUAGGCGGUUUGUCGCGUCUGCCGUGAAAACCCGAGGCUUAACCUCGUGGCUUGCGGUGGAUACGGGCAGACUAGAGGUAGGUAGGGGAGAAUGGAAUUCCCGGUGUAGCGGUGAAAUGCGCAGAUAUCAGGAGGAACACCGGUGGCGAAGGCGGGUCUCUGGGCCGAUACUGACGCUGAGGAGCGAAAGCGUGGGGAGCGAACAGG
rnacentral:rRNA from 1 species